AUCCUUUCUUCUAUUUUUUUUUCUCAGCCAUUACUUUGGAAGCAUCCAAAAGGAUUCCUAAUGUGGCUUAUUUUUCAAGUUGCAAGCCCCCUUUUUUGGAUAUGUUCAAAGCAUAUUUUGAGUUUUGUCCAAACAGGUGUGGUAUCUUGCUGCAAUAAUUAAUAUUACAAGUCUCUUCAUGUAUUCCAAGCUACACUACCAACCUAAUUAAUUCAUCUGAUUAAAUAAUCAAGAUCCAUAUACAAGUAGUUGGGUUGGGUGGAGUUGCUUUAAAGUCAUGUGAAGUGACUCCUUCAUAUAUAGAACUGAUCUGUUGCACAACUAAAUAUGAGCGACUGUGGGCGCUUACAUGCCACGUAGGCCUGAUUUUAAGUUGUUUCCGUUUUUCAAUUCUGUAAUUUCUUUUCUCUUUCUUCUGCAUUUUUUCUAAUCUUUUUUCUCUACCUUCUGCAAUUCUCUCCCCAUUAGUGAACCUCUUCAUUGCCAUGACAGUAGCCUCGUUCAAUAUUUUCCCAAAUUAAAUCUCACCUCACCGUUGCAUAUACUAAAACGCAUCACCCGGACCUCCCCCUCCACGUCAAAGACCUCUUCACCGAGCUCCAAAUCGGCGAGGUCGAAUCGAAAAAAGGCUUACAGUUUUGCUCAGUUCUUUUUUCUCCAGAUCUAAUUCUCCUUCAAGUAAUCUAGCAGUUCCAUUUUCAUGAUUUUUUUUCUCUAAAUUGAAAUUCCACAGCACAUCUCAGCUUUUGAUUUCUUGCUUCUCCUACAAUUUCAGAAAUCACAAAAUUGCAGAGCGAGAAAUGGAUGAAGUUUGGGGAGAAAUUUUGGGAGUAUUACAUGCCAAGAAGGAAAAACUUUGGCAAGAACGAAUGAAAGAUUGAGACGAAGAGAGAAGACCCAGUACAAAAUUCCAUUUGCAGUGGUCGGCGCAACUGGAAAAAAAAAAUUCGCCGAAUAUUGAACAUAACUCGGCUAGAUAAACUUAGUGAUGUAGUGGGUACUUGGUAGAGAUGAAGUGCAUUAUAGUAGACAGUGAAUAUUAAGGAUAAUUAAUUAAAUUAAUAGUAAGAAAAUUAAUUAUUCCACUCAGUGGCGUAUCCAGGUGGGGUCGAGUGGGGUCGGCCGACCCCACCAUCACCCCCGGACUGCAGUCGGAAAGUUUGCCUUCGACCCUACGGCGUCCGUUCCACCGCCCCUUUACCCAACACAGGGAAUUGAUGACGACGUGAGCAAGAGAUGAGGAGGAACUACGCUGUGGCAGCCGUGUCUGAAAUCCGGCAGCGGCGAUGGAGGCAGCCACCAAGAAGGCGAGAAUGAAAGAGGAGAGAGGCCUUUUCAGAUUUGUUUUCAGAGAUGAAUGCUUGUUGUGAUGAGGAUAGAGGGAUUACUGGGGAGGAGAGAAAGUCCUCUAUAGUUAUUAUUUUUAUUCUUAUAAAUUUAAAUAGAAGAAAAUACUAGUUGGCACUAUAAAAAAUUGACACAUUCCUACUCUAGUUAUCUAUAGCUAUUUCUAAUUUUAUCUUGUAAAUAAACUUUAAAAUUUUACGGUAUUUCUUUAUUUGUAUUAUUUCAAAUUAAUCAAGCAAAAAUGUAUUGA